AUUUAUAACAGACAAGAUAGCAAAGCCAAAGCAGAAAUACUCUCCUUCUGACAAGCAGACAAAACUAGGAGCAUCCAUGACGGACGGGAGGAGGGCUUGUUAACCAGUCAUUUCUCUUUUCCUCAAAUUCCUCUCCUCAUUCUCUCUCUAUUAUUUUUUUUUUUGUUUGCUUUCUUCCAGAAAGGAAAAGAGAGCGGCCCAGCGGAGAUUGGAAAUAAUAAAAGUCAGGGGAGAAGGAAUGGCUUCUUCUCCUCCCCUGGUUCUUCUCCUGCGGCCCCCAAACGCGGCGCUCUCUCUUUGCCUCCGCCUUUGCUUCAGCCCUCAAAACCCUAGCUUUCCCUGCUCCUCUCUCGAUGCUUCUUCCUUCCGUAGGGGAUGGGUUGGAGCCAAGAGACCUCGCGACACCAUCGGUUCGAGAGGCACGUGGCUUUGCGGAUAUUUGAGAGGAAACAGAGUCAAAUGUAAUUGGGGGAAUCAACAUAGGGAUGAGGCAAUAUUGUUUGGGCCUGAAGAGGAGAAUGGGGUCCAAGUUCCUACACAAGCUCAGUCUGUUGUUGAAGGCUCGAGCACAGUUGUUGUAUCAGAGUACAAGCCCAUACCUGAUAUCGAUUAUCUGCAGGAAUUAUUAGCCAUUCAACAAGAAGGACCUAGAGCAAUCGGUUUCUUUGGGACACGUAAUAUGGGAUUCAUGCAUCAGCAGCUUAUUGAGAUUCUAAGUUAUGCUAUGGUGAUAACGAAAAAUCAUAUUUUCACUUCAGGAGCAUCUGGGACCAAUGCAGCUGUUAUCAGAGGUGCUCUAAGGGCAGAGAAGCCAGAGUCGCUUACUGUAAUCUUGCCCCAAAGCCUGAAAAUGCAACCACCAGAGAGCCAGGAAUUAUUGUCUAAAUUGUUUGGGCGAUCGCAUGGGUUGAUCUGCUGCCACCCAACCCAAAAACCAGUCCAUGAAAGAGAUGGGAGGCGGGGCCUAUGAUUUUGGAGUUUCACUCAAUUAUGUAACAAGCUCUGGAAUUAUAUUGGUCCAACAACAUCCAUUGUGAAAUCUUGCUUCUUCCUUAGUAGUGAUCACCAUAGGGAAACCUGGGUUACUUCUGCCAAAAAGUUAUCCAUUUUGCCUUUCCAACUGCGAAACUAUGAACAAAUUUUUCCAUUAGUGCCUUUGCCCACCAAAUGAAUUGACUUGUUUGUGUAUUAGUAUGUCCUGAAGACAGCUGUUGCUGAAGGGUCAUUUCUUCAAGCCUUGUUGCAUUGUGGCUUGAUAAUUUCUUUAGGCUAUUUGGAAGGAAUGAGAUGUGCAAGGUCAAAAAUCUGAUUGAGAAACCUGAGAAUGAUCAUCUGCCAUUGAUUGAAGCUAGCAGGCUCUGCAACAUGGACAUUCUCUCAAAGGUACAGCAAGUCAUCUGUUUUGCAUUUCAUGAUAGCAGAUUGCUCAUGGAGACCUGCCAGGAGGCAAAGAAUCUUCGAAAAAUUGUUACUCUCUUUUACUUGGAUUGAUCUCCAUAUAGAAUGAUAAGAGAUUCUAUCUAAUUUUUGUUUAUGAGAUGGCAGAUGGGGUUCCCUCAAUUACUUUGUUCUUUUUGACUCCCUUGAUAUUUUGGGGGGAAUUAGAUGUAUUUGUCCUGGGGCUUAAAAAGGAGGCUUCUCAUUAUUCCUAUUCUUCGAUAGAAAACAGUUGAAGGUGCAAUGGAGCAGUCAAUAUUUAUUGGUGCAUGCGAGAUAUUUAUAUUGCUGUCAAAGGCUAUGGUUUUUUCAGAAGUAUUUUGUUUACAUUCAAAUCAUAAUUCUAAUGCAAGUUAUGAAAGGAACAUCCAUCUGGCGCAGCGAAUACUGUUGCAGCUUUAGGGCUUGGCAGUGUUUUAAUCAUAUUACAGUCAAAAAGUCUGUAAGGACAAUUUCAGCUAUAAAAUUUUUGCA